UCCCAAGUAGCUGGGACUGCAGGAGCCCACCACCACCCCUGGCUAAUUUUUUGUAUUUUUAGUAGAGAUGGGGUUUCACCAUGUUAGCCAAGAUGGUCUUGAUCUCCUGACCUCGUGAUCCACCUGCCUUGGCCUCCCAAAGUGCUGGGAUUACAGGCAUGAGCCACCGCGCCUGGCUUCCAUUCAAGUCUUUAUUGAAUAUCUGCUAUGUUCUACACACUGUUCUAGGUGCUGGGGAUGCAACAGGGGACAAAAUAGGCAAAAUCCCUGUCCUUUUGGGGUUGACAUUCUAGUGACUCUUCAUAUAGUCUAGAAGCAGCUCAAUGAAUAGUGUCUGUGGUUGUUACCAGGGACACAAUGACAGGAACAUUCUUGGGUAGAGUGAGAGGCCUGGGGAGGGAAGGGUCUCUAGAAUGGAGCAGAUGCUGGGCAGUCUUAGGGAGCCCCUCCUGGCAUGCACCCCCUCAUCCCUCAGGCCACCCCCGUCCCUUGCAGGAGCACCCUGGGGAGCUGUCCAGAGCGCUGUGCCGCUGUCUGUGGCUGGAGGCAGAGUAGGUGGUGUGCUGGGAAUGCGAGUGGGAGAACUGGGAUGGGCCGAGGGGAGGCGGGUGAGGGGGGGCAACCACCCAACACCCACCAGCUGCUUUCAGUGUUCUGGGUCCAGGUGCUCCUGGCUGGCCUUGUGGUCCCCCUCCUGCUUGGGGCCAUGCUGACCUACACAUACCGCCACUGCUGGCCUCACAAGCCCCUGGUUACUGCAGAUGAAGCUGGGAUGGAGGCUCUGACCCCACCACCGGCCACCCAUCUGUCACCCUUGGACGGCGCCCACACCCUUCUAGCACCUCCUGACAGCAGUGAGAAGAUCUGCACCGUCCAGUUGGUGGGCAACAGCUGGACCCCUGGCUACCCCGAGACCCAGGAGGCGCUCUGCCCGCAGGCGACAUGGUCCUGGGACCAGUUGCCCAACAGAGCUCUUGGCCCCGCUCCUGCGCCCACAUUCUCGCCAGAGUCCCCAGCCGGCGCGCCCGCCAUGAUGCUGCAGCCGGGCCCGCAGCUCUACGACGUGAUGGACGCGGUCCCAGCGCGGCGCUGGAAGGAGUUCGUGCGCACGCUGGGGCUGCGCGAGGCAGAGAUCGAAGCCGUGGAGGUGGAGAUCGGCCGCUUCCGAGACCAGCAGUACGAGAUGCUCAAGCGCUGGCGCCAGCAGCAGCCCGCGGGCCUGGGCGCCGUUUACGCGGCCCUGGAGCGCAUGGGGCUGGACGGCUGCGCGGAGGACUUGCGCAGCCGCCUGCAGCGCGGCCCGUGACACGGCGCCCACUUGCCACCUAGGCGCUCUGGUGGCCCUUGCAGAAGCCCUAAGUACCGUUACUUAUGCGUGUAGACAUUUUAUGUCACUUAUUAAGCCGCUGGCACGGCCCUGCGUAGCAGCACCAGCCGGCCCCACCCCUGCUCGCCCCUAUCGCUCCAGCCAAGGCGAAGCAGCACGAACGAAUGUCGAGAGGGGGUCAAGACAUUUCUCAGUUUCUCGGCCGGAGUUUGGCUGAGAUCGCGGUAUUAAAUCUGUGAAAGAAACAAAACAAACAAAACAAAAA
rnacentral:sRNA from 1 species